ensembl:snRNA U6 U6 spliceosomal RNA
UUGCUUUGGCAGUACAUAUAUUAAAAUUGGAAUGAUAAAGAGAAGAUUAGCAUGGCCCCAUGCAAGGAUGACACACAUAUUUAUAAAGCUUUCCACUUUAAA